rnacentral:rRNA from 1 species
GACGAACGCUGGCGGCGUGCCUAACACAUGCAAGUCGAGCGGAAAUAAUUAAAGUUUACUUUGAUUAUUUUAGCGGCGGACGGGUGAGUAACACGUGGGCAACCUGCCCUUGAGAGGGGGAUAACACAGAGAAAUUUGUGCUAAUACCGCAUAACAUUUAGACUUCGCCUGGAGUUUAAAUCAAAGGAGUAAUCCGCUCAAGGAUGGGCCCGCGGCGCAUUAGCUAGUUGGUGGGGUAAUGGCCUACCAAGGCGACGAUGCGUAGCCGACCUGAGAGGUUGAGCGGCCAGAUUGGGACUGAGACACGGCCCAAACUCCUACGGGAGGCAGCAGUAGGGAAUCUUCCGCAAUGGACGAAAGGCUGACGGAGCAACGCCGCGUGAGUGAGGAAGGCCUUCGGGUCGUAAAGCUCUGUUGCCAGGGAAGAACAGGCGCAUGUUAACUGCAUGUGCUGUGACGGUACCUGAGAAGAAAGCCCCGGCUAACUACGUGCCAGCCGCCGCCGUAAAAC